rnacentral:rRNA from 1 species
GACGAACGCUGGCGGCGUGCUUAACACAUGCAAGUCGAACGGAAAGGCCUCUUUCGGGGGGUACUCGAGUGGCGAACGGGUGAGUAACACGUGAGUAACCUGCCCUUGACUUUGGGAUAACUUCAGGAAACUGGGGCUAAUACCGGAUAGGAGCUCCUGCUGCAUGGUGGGGGUUGGAAAGUUUCGGCGGUUGGGGAUGGACUCGCGGCUUAUCAGCUUGUUGGUGGGGUAGUGGCUUACCAAGGCUUUGACGGGUAGCCGGCCUGAGAGGGUGACCGGCCACAUUGGGACUGAGAUACGGCCCAGACUCCUACGGGAGGCAGGAGUGGGGAAUAUUGCACAAUGGGUGGAAGCCUGAUGCAGCAACGCCGUGUGCGGGAUGACGGCCUUCGGUUUGAAAACCGCUUUCGCUCAUGACGAAGCUUUGUGUGACGGUAGUGGGUAAAGAAGCACCGGCUAACUACGUG